AAACGGUAUGCACGAACCCCCCGUGGGAUGGGCGGAAUCAGGGGCUUUUUGUGAUCCCUUCGACUCCGGUGAGAAAUGGUUUCUGGCCGAGCGAGGUUCUUGACUCUGCAUUGUCGGACACACUGCUCUGUGGUAGCAGCUUCUUGGCCUUUGUUAAGAACCACGUGCUCAUGUGGUGCAGUUACAGAUGGUCUGGCUCUGGAUGGAUGGAAGCGACAACAGUUUGGAGGACACUUUUUUCAGGAGCUUGUUGAUCUUGGAUUUACUUUGAACUUUUUCCAAGUCUAUUUCUUCAGGAGAUAUCCAUGCAGAGUCUUUCUCAAGAGAAUAUCCUAUUAAAAAUAAGAAGAUACGAAAUGAAUAAUGAUUUGCGAUGGUAGUUCCUGCAGAUUAUUAUGAUUGUUUUCUAUUUUAAGUGUUACUAAUUUCAAUAUAAUAUACUGAUUUCACUGAAUGCACACUAAAUAAAACCUACCGUAUUU
rnacentral:sRNA from 1 species